AAUGAACGCUGGCGGCAUGCUUAACACAUGCCAGUCGAACGGCAGCGCGGGGUUCUGGCUGGUCGCGCGUGGCGAACGGGCGAGUGAUGCACAGGAAUGUGCCCUGCAGAGGGGGAUGGGAUGGCGAAGGGAGGAUGAAUAUCACAUACGAUAAGAGGGUGAAAGGCGGGGUUCGAUAGGCAAAGACGUAUUUGCGGGGACGAGGCCGGAUUUGCUAGUUGGUGGGGUAAGGGCUUACCAAGGCGACGAUCCGUAGCCGAGCUGAGAGGCCGACCAGCCACACUGGAACUGAAACACGGUCCAGACUCCUACGGGAGGCAGCAGUCGGGAAUGUUGGGCAAUGGGGGCAAGCCUGAUGCAGCCAUGCCGCGUGAGUGAUGAAGGCCUUCGGAUUGUAAAACGCUGUUAUUAGGGAAGAAAACCUGUGUACUAAAACAUGGAGGGCAUGACGGUACCGAAUAAAAAAGCAACGGCUAACUACGUG
rnacentral:rRNA from 1 species